rnacentral:lncRNA from 1 species
GGCAAACAUGGAGCCCGACAACCACUGGAUGGAAUUACGUCGGCAUCCGAACCAAAACGCACUCAAAAGGGCAAACAUGGAGCCCGACAGCCAAUCCUGGACUUACGUCAGCAUCCGAACCCAAACAAUCAAUAGCAUACAACAAACAAACAUACAAACACACGCAAAAAAGAAAAAAAGGCGCCUGGAGUGGUCUCGCACGACCACCUGCCUACAUACCUCGUCUGGCACGAGGAUCAGGGCGAUG